rnacentral:rRNA from 1 species
GACGAACGCUGGCGGCGUGCCUAAUACAUGCAAGUCGAACGCUGAAGGAGGAGCUUGCUUCUCUGGAUGAGUUGCGAACGGGUGAGUAACGCGUAGGUAACCUGCCUGGUAGCGGGGGAUAACUAUUGGAAACGAUAGCUAAUACCGCAUAAUAGUAGAUGUUGCAUGACAUUUGCCUAAAAGGUGCAAUUGCAUCACUACCAGAUGGACCUGCGUUGUAUUAGCUAGUUGGUGGGGUAACGGCUCACCAAGGCGACGAUACAUAGCCGACCUGAGAGGGUGAUCGGCCACACUGGGACUGAGACACGGCCCAGACUCCUACGGGAGGCAGCAGUAGGGAAUCUUCGGCAAUGGACGGAAGUCUGACCGAGCAACGCCGCGUGAGUGAAGAAGGUUUUCGGAUCGUAAAGCUCUGUUGUAAGAGAAGAACGAGUGUGAGAGUGGAAAGUUCACACUGUGACGGUAUCUUAACAGAAAGGGACGGCUAACUACGUG